GUUGUGGCUCAGUGGUAGGACAUCUGCUUUGCAUGCAGAAGGUCCCCAGUUCACUCCCUGGCAUCUCCA